rnacentral:lncRNA from 1 species
CGCACGAUCUGCUCCCGGACUCCUUCAGCGCGCUGCCUGCCUGCCCAGGGCCUUCCCGGAGAGCAGGUGACGGCGGCCUCCGGGCAUGGAGCUCGCGCUGACGAAAGGUUCUGGAAGCCGCCGUAAAAAGUAAUCAAGAAACGGGUGACAGGACUUUUCCCUGACCAACAUGAUGAAACCCCAUCUAAAAAUACAAAACAAUUAGCCGGACUGUAGUGGUGCACGCCUGUAAUCGCAGCUACUCAGAAGGCUGAGGCAGGAGAAUUGCUUGCAUCCAGGAGGUGGAGGUUGCAGUGAGCUGAGAUCACGCCAUUGCACUCCAGCCUAGGCGACAGAGUGAGUCUCUGUAUCUGCUGUUCUGUUGUAGGAGAAGGAGAUGUCAGGUAUAAGGGUUAGCAGGGGGUGGCUUGGUUGCGAUCAGGAGAGAGGUAGUGCUCAUUCUCCAUGGGAUCCUUGUGGUGCAUGUCCCUGGCUUUUUUUUUUUUUUUGAGAUGGAGUCUCACUCUGUCACCCAGGCUGGAGUGCAGAGGCACAAUACUCGGCUUACUCGGCUCUGCCUCCUGGGUUCAUGCAUUUCUCCUGCCUCAGCCUCCUGAGUAGCUGGGAUUACAGGUGUGCACCACCACGCCUGGUAUUUUUAGUAGAGAUGGGGUUUCUCCACGUUGGCCAGGCUGGUCUCAAACUCCUGACCUCAAGUGCCGCGGUUUGCCACAGUUACCACGGGACUAAACGAAGGGGUACGAACGUAGAAAUGAAAACUUAAAACAAAAGAAACUGUUUUAAAGGAAGGGGCCAGGGGAAGAAGAAGAGGGCUCCCUGCUUCUAGUGAGCAAGGGCAGCCGCCUUGAACCUCUACCGCCCUUCAUACUCAUUCGGUAGAAAGAGCAGGGUGGAGGAGGUAACAAUUGGUCAGCUGCUUGAUUGAUCACAGGUUCACCUUAUCUCAUUACAAGAAACACUUGUGCUGGGUCGUGACUGCCCUCAGCAUUCCUUCUGGGUGGCAGACGCAGUUUGUCAGUUUGCCAACACCCUGCUUUCAUGAAAACAGUUUGCUGUUUACUCAUAUAGCCUCCAGUGGUGCACUGAGUUGAUCACGACCCUCACUCUUUCGGCCUGCAACACUCAAGUGAUCCACCUGCCUCGGCUGCCCAAAGUGUUGGGAUUACAGGCAUGAGCCACCACGCCCGGCCUGCUCCUGGCUUUUGGCUGAAAGUUGAGACUUAGAAGUUGGGAGGAGACCUGGAGCACCGUGGCUAGUUCUAGGCCCUACACUCUUCAGAACAGCAGAGCUGUAGCUGUCUGCCCUUUGAGGAACCGUUUGAGGUGUGGCACGAUACAGCAAGUCAGCUGCCAAAGAGGGGCUUAGCCACAGGAAGUGCGUGCCCAGAACGCAUCUCCCGUGUCCCUCACAGCAGUUCUAUGAGGCUGGCUGCCCUGUUUGACAACUGAGGCCCGCAUCUUCCCCGGAAUCACCGACGUGUGGCUCUGAGCCCUGUCCCAGGGAUUUUCUCCAUCAGAGAAGAGGAGCACUUUGAGCUUUGAGAGGAGCAGCCCUCUGCAAGUGAAGUGGAAAAAAAGGAAGCAGGCGAGGAGGCCCAUCCAGACCCUCCCCCAAGACCCUUGCUGAAAUGGCUGGGAUGCGGCGUGCAGAAGCUCUCCUUUCCUUCACAGCCCCUGGCUUUCCAAGAGUCCCUGCCCACCCAGAUGCCCGCUGGCAGAUGCAGCCUCAUCUCAAGGACACUGCUUGCUGGAUAAAUCCCUCACCACCCUAGAGACAGCCCACGGUCCUGAGACAAGGAUGCGGGCCAGGCUUGUUGCACGUAAGCGCCUCCCGCAGAAACCAGUGAGGCCGGAGUUCCAGAGGAAAUGAUGUAGGGACAGAGGCAGAGGGCCUCCAGGAGGCACCAGCCCCAGAGUCUUCCCUAGAAUCAGACUUUAAGCACAAGCAGGGAGGGAAAGCACUUGAGCAGUGCCCGUCCCUGCAUACCUGGCCUCUGCUGGAACCCAUGCAGGGACAGGACACUUCUUUAUCAGCAAUCCUGUUCCUCUCCUGGGCAGCUUCAACCUGAACAUCCUCCUUCACCUUGAGCUAAAAUGGGUUUCUUGUCACCCUUGCCCAUCAAACCUGGCCUUGCCCUCAGGAACCACACAGGACAAGCCUAAUACUUCCUUCUUGUGGCAACACUUUAGCAAUUGAGACCUGGCUGUCAGGUCCUCCAAAUAAACAUUUGUGACUGUGAUGUUGACUUGCCGCUUCUGGGGACCUCUUCUCAUUUGAUCGGAGAAAGUUUUUCAGGGUUAAACCUACUUCUUUCCCCCAAGAAACUCUUCUUGUCAGGCUCACGCCUAUAAUCCUGGCACUUUGGGAGGCCAAGGCAGGAGGAUUGUUUGAGACCAGCCUGGGCAACGUAGGUAGACUAUGUUGCUACAAAAAGAAAAAGAAAAAAUGGCCAGGUGUAGUAGUCCCAGCUGCUUGGAGGCUGAGGUAGGAGGUUUGCUUGAGCCCAGGAGGUCGAGGCUGCAGUGAGCUAUGAUUGUGCCACUGCACUCUAGCCUGGGAGACAGAAUGAGGCCCUGUCUCAAAAAAAAAAAAAAAAAAAAAAAGAUGAUGAAACUCCUCACGUAUUUCUCCCCGGAGCAUGUGCUCCCAGGCUCAAAUCCACAGCAGCCUCGUUACACACACGUCAUCCCCUGGCCCCGAGAUAUUGCACCGCCUUCCCCUUUCUAGCUCUGAACCCCCACAUGAAGCAGCCAGACGUAGGAAAACCCAGAUUCAUAAAGCGCUGAUAUGGGUGGUCCUUUACCAAAGGAUUUUCUGCUUUACAAAGUAAUUCACCAAAUGAUUUCCCUAGAGUAUGGGCAGAGAUUUGCAAACUACAGCUUGGAACCAAGCUGCCUUUUUUUUAUAAUAAAGUUUUAUCAGGAUGCAUCCACAUCCAUUCAUCUCUGUGGUGCCAGCUGCUCUAGCUACACAGGCAGAGUGGAAGAGUUGCAGAUGGCCAACAAAACCUAAACUGUUUACCGCCUGGCCCCUUAUAGAAGCAGCUGGCUGACGCUGGCUCCAGGGCAUCAGAAAUGGGACCAUUGGAAAGGAGUAGCCGGGCUACAUGGUUUUUCUUCUGCCCCACGUCUUGUUCUCAAACAUGCUUCCUCCCCAGUCAUCUGAGGAAUGUCAGUCUGAGACAGUCAGGAGCAGGUGUGCCUAGGGAUGCAUGGUUUCUGAAAAUGGGGUGGGGUCUUUUAGGCUGAGGGCUCUGGCAGCUUCUGUCUGAAGGCUGAGCUGAGCUGAGCAGAGCUGGGCAUGGUGGCUCACGCCUGUAGUCCCGGCUACUCAGGAGGCCAAGGUGGGAGAAUCACUUGAGCCUGGGAAGUUCAGAGGAGCCUGGGCAACACAGUGAGACCUCAUCUUUAUUUUUUGAAAUUUUUUGUUUUUAUUAUUUUUUUAAUUUUUAGGAGCAGAGGGUUAAUAGGCAAAAGAAAGAGAGAGAGGAAAACAGCUCUCUCCAGUGAGAGAGAGGGUACUUCUGAAAGGAAAACGCCACCGGCAGCAGAUGCACUGGAUUUUAUAGUCAGGCUUGAGGAGGUGGUGUCUGAUUUACAUAGGGCUCACAGAUUGGUUCAGUCAGGUAUGAUGUUUACAUAGCGCUGGGGUGUGGGGAAGGCUGACCUCCCCACUCUAAUCUUAUUAUGCAAAUGAACUUUCCCCUUGGCCAGCACCAUCUUGUCUGCUCCUUACUGUGCACGUGGCUGGCAGAGAAGGGAAGAUGGAGCCGCCAUUUUGAACAUGAUUGGCACAACUGCCUGCAUCUAUGUCUGCAGCUCGAUUUUACACGCUGCUCUUUGUUAGAAAGGAAAAUGAUUUGGGGCUGCUUUUCAGUAAAAGGAAAACCUUACUGAGGACUUCUGUAUCCUCACUAUCUAAGUAAUUUCCUCUUAACUCCUGUAUCAUUCCCCACUCUGGAGUGGUAACCCUAACUGCUCUUCGGGGUUGUUUGAUGAUGACUCUUUCUGGCUACUUCAUACUUAAAAGGGGUGUUGUGUGGGGAACAGAAGCUAAGGGCUCCUCCUGGGGUCGAGCUAAGGGUCCUCGGAAAAAAGGCAUGUCCGUGCAUGGUUCUGUCUGCAGCACCAUUUAGAGUUUGAUUACUGUCAGCCAUUCUGAUGGGUUGUAACACUGGUUUGCCUCCACCAGAUGUUGAGAUAGUUUCCAGAUUCCAGAGAAACCAGG